rnacentral:SRP_RNA from 1 species
GCUGCUUGUGCCAAUAGCCCAGCUACACAGAAGGCUGGGGUGGGAGGAUCUCCUGAGUCUAGGACUUGUAGUUUGUAGUGCACUAUGCUGAUUGAGUGCUCACACUAAGUUUGGCAUCAAUAUGAUGACUUCUCAGGAGUGCUGGACUGCUAGGUUGCUUAAGGAGGGAUGAAUUGGCCUAGAUCAAAAACAAAGGUCAAAACUCCCAUGCUGAUCGGUAGUGGGAAUGCAACUUUGAAUAGCCACUGUACUCCAGCCUGGGUAACAUAGCAAGACCCUGUCCCUU